rnacentral:lncRNA from 1 species
UGGUUUAAAACGUAUCAAUUUACCCCCCUGUGGUUUCAUUUUUAUCUUUUCGGAAGCUUUUUCGUUAAUAUUUCGUUAAAUUAUGUACAAAAAACUUCAGAUAACCAUCUAUAUUUAUCGAAUAGUCACUUUAGUAUCCUUUAAUUUUAACUUUGUCACUGAUUUUAAAAAAUAAUAAUAAUAAAAUUGAUAACAAAAAGAUAAAAA